AUUGAACGCUGGCGGCAGGCCUAACACAUGCAAGUCGAGCGGAUCGGCCGUCGGGUGUUUUAUGCCUAUGAAUCUGCCUGUUAGUGGUGGAUAUCGUCCGCUAACGGGCGCUAUUACCGCCUACUAUCAGAUUAGCCUAGGUCGGAUUAGCUAGUUGGUGGGGUAAAGGCCUACCAAGGCGACGAUCCGUAACUGGUCUGAGAGGAUGAUCAGUCAAACUGGAACUGAGACACGGUCCAUAAUCCUACGGGAGGCAGCAGGGGGGAAUAUUGGACAAUGGGCGAAAGCCUGAUCCAGCCAUGCCGCGUGUGUGAAGAAGGUCUUCGGAUUGUAAAGCACUUUAAGUUGGGAGGCGUGACCAAAAGAAUAAGCACCGGCUAACUUCGUGCCAGCAGCCGCGGUAAUAG
rnacentral:rRNA from 1 species